rnacentral:rRNA from 1 species
GACGAACGCUGGCGGCGUGCUUAACACAUGCAAGUCGAACGGAAAGGCCCCCUUGUGGGGUACUCGAGUGGCGAACGGGUGAGUAACACGUGAGUAACCUACCCUUGACUUUGGGAUAACUUCAGGAAACUGGGGCUAAUACCGGAUAGGAGCUCCUGCUGCAUGGUGGGGGUUGGAAAGUUUCGGCGGUUGGGGAUGGACUCGCGGCUUAUCAGCUUGUUGGUGGGGUAGUGGCUCACCAAGGCUUUGACGGGUAGCCGGCCUGAGCGGGUGACCGGCCACAUUGGGACUGAGAUACGGCCCAGACUCCUACGGGAGGCAGCAGUGGGGAAUAUUGCACAAUGGGCGGAAGCCUGAUGCAGCAACGCCGCGUGCGGGAUGACGGCCUUCGGGUUGUAAACCGCUUUCGCCUGUGACGAAGCGUGAGUGACGGUAAUGGGUAAAGAAGCACCGGCUAACUACGUG